UACGUAGGUGGCAAGCGUUGUCCGGAUUUAUUGGGUUUAAAGGGUGCGUCGGCGGUCUUAUAAGUCAGUGCUGAAAUAUCCCGGCAUAACCGGGAGGGUGGCAUUGAUACUGUAGGACUUGAGUAAAGUUGAGGUUGGCGGAAUUGACGGUGUAGCGGUGAAAUGCGUAGAGAUCGGGAAGAACAUCGGUGGCGAAAGCGCUCUACUGGACGGUAUCUGACACUGAGGGACGAAAGCUAGGGGAGCGAAUGGG
rnacentral:rRNA from 1 species